UAGGGGCAGAGGGAACUUCCGGUGUAGCGGUGAAAUGCGUAGAUAUCGGGAAGAACACCAGUGGCGAAAGCGCUCUGCUGGACCAUUACUGACGCUCAUGGACGAAAGCCAGGGGAGCGAAAGGGAUAGAUACCCCUGUAGUCCUGGCCGUAAACGAUGAACACUAGAUGUUGGGGGAAUCGACCCCCUCGGUGUCGUAGCUAACGCGUUAAGUGUUCCGCCUGGGGAGUACGCACGCAAGUGUGAAACUCAAAGGAAUUGACGGGGGCCCGCACAAGCGGUGGAGUAUGUGGUUUAAUUCGAUGCAACGCGAAGAACCUUACCAAGGCUUGACAUCCUGCGAAUCUCCGAGAAAUUGGAGAGUGCCUUCGGGAACGCAGUGACAGGUGGUGCAUGGCUGUCGUCAGCUCGUGUCGUGAGAUGUUGGGUUAAGUCCCGCAACGAGCGCAACCCACGUUUUUAGUUGCCAGCAUUCAGUUGGGCACUCUAGAAAGACUGCCGGUGACAAACCGGAGGAAGGUGUGGACGACGUCAAGUCAUCAUGCCCCUUACGCCUUGGGCUACACACGUACUACAAUGCUGCGGACAAAGAGUAGCGAUCUUGCGAAAGUUAGCUAAUCUCGUAAACCGUGGCUCAGUUCAGAUCGUAGGCUGCAACUCGCCUACGUGAAGGAGGAAUCGCUAGUAAUCGCAGGUCAGCAUACUGCGGUGAAUACGUUCCCGGGCCUUGUACACUCCGCCC
rnacentral:rRNA from 1 species